AACGAACGCUGGCGGCAGGCCUAACACAUGCAAGUCGAGCGCUCACCUUCGGGUGGGAGCGGCGCACGGGUGAGUAACACGUGGGAACCUACCUUGAAGUACGGAAUAACUGAGGGAAACUUCAGCUAAUACCGUAUACGCCCUACGGGGGAAAGAUUUAUCGCUUCAAGACGGGCCCGCGUUGGAUUAGCUAGUUGGUGAGGUAAUGGCCCACCAAGGCAACGAUCCAUAGCUGAUUUGAGAGAAUGAUCAGCCACACUGGGACUGAGACACGGCCCAGACUCCUACGGGAGGCAGCAGUGGGGAAUAUUGGACAAUGGGCGCAGGCCUGAUCCAGCCAUGCCGCGUGAGUGAUGAAGGCCUUCGGGUUGUAAAGCUCUUUCAGAUGGGACGAUGAUGACGGUACCAUCAGAAGAAGCCCCGGCUAACUUCGUGCCAGCCGCCGCAGUAACAC
rnacentral:rRNA from 1 species